rnacentral:rRNA from 1 species
GAAAAAACUAGUGGUAAGGGAACUAAUGCAUUUACUGAUGGUGGUUGGAGUAAUUGGAAUAGAGAGGAUGCUCUUCUUAAGCAUGUUGGUUGCAUAUCAAGUGUGCAUAAUGCAUCUCAAGAGAGAUAUAACUUAUUUGUGAACCCAAGUGCAACAAUUGAUGAUCUUUUUGUGAAGGUGAACAGUGAGGAUCUACGUCUUUAUAAGAUGAGGUUGAAGUAUUCACUUAGAUGCCAGUUUCUUCUUCAUCAAGGAUUGGCAUUUUGUGGGCAUGAUGAAAGUGAAUAGUCUAGCAAUAGAGGAAACUUACUUGAGCUAUUGAAGUGGCUUGCAGCAAAUAAUGAGGAGGCGAAUAAGUAUGUUUUGAAGAAUGCACCAGGUAACUGCCAAUUGACAUCUCAUCAGAUACAACAUCAGAUUAUUCAAUGUUGUGCACAACUUACUAGAAAGAAAAUUAUUGAUGAAUUUGGUGAUGAGCACUAUGCUAUUCUAGCCGAUGAGUCUAGUCAUGUAUCACAUAAAGAACAACUAGCUUUAUGCUUGCGUUUUGUAGAUAAAGUAGGGAGGCCGUCUGAGCACUUUAUUGGAGUUGUUCAUGUAAGUGACACUACUUCAUUGUCACUUAAGGAAGCAAUUGAAACUUUACUUACUGAUCAUGGUUUGACUAUAACACAAAUUCGUGGGCAAGGAUAUGAUGGGGCUAGUAAUAUGAGAGGAGAAAUUAAAGGAUUGAAAACAUUGAUCAUGAAAGAGUCACCUUCUGCCUAUUAUAUUCAUUGUUUUGCACAUCAACUCCAGCUAGUUCUUGUUGUUGUUUCCAAGGGAAAUGAUGAUUGUGUGUGGUUUUUUAAUCCAGUGUCUUUAUUACUGAAUGUUAUUCGAGUGUCUUGUAAGCGUCAUGACAUGCUUCGAGAUGCUAGACUUCAGAAUAUCCUGAAACUACUUGAAUGUGGUGAGUUAUAAACUGGGAGUGGUUUGAAUCAAGAGAUGGGGUUACCUAGGCCUGGUGAUACUCGGUGGGGAUCUCAUUACAAAUCUGUUCUUAACAUUAUUGCUAUGUAUCCCACAAUCCAUGAUGUGCUCAUAACUCUUGGACAAGAUGCUUCACAAAGAAGUGAUUGGCCCAAAAUUCAUACUAUUGUUGGAGUGUUCGAGUCAUUUGACUUUAUUUUCAAUGCACACUUGAUGCGUGUCAUUCUUGGCUACACAAGUGAUUUGUCUGAUGGUUUGCAAAGAAGAGACCAAUAUACUCUUACUGCAAUGGCACUUGUUAGAACUGCAAAAAGUAGAAUACAAGAGCUUAGGGAUAAUGGGUGGGAUGCAUUUCUGCAAAAGGUCACACUAUUUUGUAACAAGCAUGGCAUUCAAGUUCCUAAAAUGGAAGAUAAUUAUGUGCCUUAUGGAAGAUCAACACGGUUUGCUCGACCCCAAACAAAUGAUGAUCACUUCAGAAGAGAAGUUUUUCUUGGAUUCAUUGAUCAAAUUAGUCAAGAGCUUGAAAAUCGGUUUGAUGAGAUCAAUAUGGAGCUGCUAUCUUGUAUGUCUGCUUUGAAUCUCGCCGACUCAUUUGCUGCUUUUGAUGCACAAAAGGUAUGCAAACUUUCUUCUAAAAUUUUUAUUGCUUCCAAAAUUGGUACAUCAAAUCUCUAA